rnacentral:rRNA from 1 species
AUGAAAGAACACUUUGAUGCUCACAACAAGAGUGGAAUUGACCGCUCCGAGAGAUCACUUCGGUCCCGAUGGUCGACAAUCAACUCAGAUUGUCAUAAGUGGGCGGCCGUACAAAAGGCCGUUGACAAGAUUAACCCAAGUGGCACAAAUGAGGAUGAUCGAGUAAGUGGCAUCUCAUAUAUGUUCAUCAUACUUGUUUUUGGUGACCGAAGUGCUAACUUGUUUUGUUUUUCUUGUAGUACAACAUUGCACAAAACUUGUUCAAAGAAGAGACAAGGACAACCAAGAAGGAGAAGAUCAAGAAAAUGA